UGCCACGGUGACCCAAGAGGCAGGGUUGU
rnacentral:piRNA from 1 species